rnacentral:rRNA from 1 species
UACGAAGGGGGCUAGCGUUGUUCGGAUUUACUGGGCGUAAAGCGCACGUAGGCGGAUUGUUAAGCCGGGGGUGAAAUCCUGGAGCUCAACUCCAGAACUGCCUUCGAUACUGGCAAUCUCGAGUCCGGAAGAGGUGAGUGGAACUCCUAGUGUAGAGGUGGAAUUCGUAGAUAUUAGGAAGAACACCAGUGGCGAAGGCGACUCACUGGUCCGGUACUGACGCUGAGGUGCGAAAGCGUGGGGAGCAAACAGG